rnacentral:tRNA from 2 species
CGCGGAAUAGAGCAGCCAGGUAGCUCGUCGGGCUCAUAACCCGAAGGUCGAUAGUUCAAAUCUAUCUUCCGCAACCA